UGAUAGGGUGAUAUUUCAUAUUAAUUAAGUAAUAAUUUCAUUAUCAUGAAAUUAUUAAUUAAUAGUUCUAUAAAUUAUAAGUUUACAGUAUUUACUAUAAAAGUUGUCAAUAUAAACAACUUUAUGUACAACCUAACAGUAUGUAAAUAGCUACAUAGUUAUUUAUAUAGUAUGACAUCACAAUGGUCAUUAUGGUCAGUGUAAACCUGUUUUAGUUAAUUAUAUAUCACAUGGUCAAUUCUAUUUUUGAAUUCUCAAUUUCAUUGGUCCUUUAAAUUCCCUCUCUUUGCUUUGUCCUUUUUGAUCUGAUCUUCAUACUGACCAGAUGUGUUUAGCUUAAGACCAAGAAGAAAUCUAUAGACUGUAAGUAAUUGUUUUAUAUUUUAUGCUAUUUAUAUUAAUGCUUAUUUAUAAAGCAUAUUGUAUUUGCUAGAUAAGUAUAUGCUAUAUAGUGAAAUGUAAAUCUAUUUAAAUGUAAAUUAUCAUGAGUGAAAACUUAGUAUUUGAGCAACACUCAUUAUAGUUAUUUUAACAAUCUUAAGCUAGAUAACCUAAAUGUAGUUUUAAGAGUAUUGUUAUAUGUAUUAGAUUCCAUACCUGAAGAAUAUAUCAGGAUCAUGCAGAUGCAGAUCAAUUAGGCUUUGUGUCACACAUAGAGCUUAUGAUAUAAUAUAAUAUAAAGUAAUAAUCAAGAACCCUA